rnacentral:rRNA from 1 species
MUGCCUCAGUAACGGCGAGUGAAGCGGCAACAGCUCAAAUUUGAAAUCUGGCCGUCUUCGCGGUCCGAGUUGUAAUUUGUAGAGGAUGCUUCAGGUGCGGCGCCGGUCUAAGUUCCUUGGAACAGGACGUCAUGGAGGGUGAGAAUCCCGUCUGUGACCGGUGGCCCAGCCCGUGUGAAGCUCCUUCGACGAGUCGAGUUGUUUGGGAAUGCAGCUCUAAAUGGGUGGUAAAUUUCAUCUAAAGCUAAAUACCGGCCAGAGACCGAUAGCGCACAAGUAGAGUGAUCGAAAGAUGAAAAGCACUUUGGAAAGAGAGUUAAAAAGUACGUGAAAUUGUUGAAAGGGAAGCGCUUGCAACCAGACUUGCCCGUGAGCGAUCAGCCGUCCUUCUGGGCGGUGCACUCGCCCGCGGUCAGGCCAGCAUCGGUUCAGGCGGCCGGAUAAAGGCCCCGGGAACGUAGCUCCCCUCGGGGAGUGUUAUAGCCCGGGGUGCAAUGCGGCCGCCGGGACCGAGGACCGCGCUUCGGCUAGGAUGCUGGCGUAAUGGUUGUCAGCGACCCGUCUUGAAACACGGACCAAGGAGUCUAACAUCUAUGCGAGUGUUUGGGUGUCAAACCCAUGCGCGCAAUGAAAGUGAACGGAGGUGGGAACCCUCAAGGGCGCACCAUCGACCGAUCCUGAUGUCGUCGGAUGGAUUUGAGUACGAGCAUAGCUGUUGGGACCCGAAAGAUGGUGAACUAUGCCUGAAUAGGGUGAAGCCAGAGGAAACUCUGGUGGAGGCUCGCAGCGGUUCUGACGUGCAAAUCGAUCGUCAAAUUUGGGUAUAGGGGCGAAAGACUAAUCGAACCAUCUAGUAGCUGGUUCCUGCCGAAGUUUCCCUCAGGAUAGCAGUAACGUUUUCAGUUUAUGAGGUAAAGCGAAUGAUUA